rnacentral:rRNA from 1 species
UACAGCGGUCGCGAGCGUUAAUCGGAGUAACUGGGCGUAAAGGGCACGUAGGCGGUUAUAUUAAUUUGAUGGGAAAGACCUGGGCUUAACCUGGGAUGUUCAUUUGGAAAGGUAUAGCUAGAGUUUGGGAGAGGGAAGUGGAAUUUCCGGUGUAGCGGUGAAAUGCGUAGAGAUCGGAAAGAACACUCGUGGCGAAGGCGGCUUUCUGGCCCAAAACUGACGCUGAGGUGCGAAAGCGUGGGGAGCACACAGG